AUCUUAUGGAGAGUUUGAUCCUGGCUCAGGACGAACGCUGGCGGCAUGCCUAAUACAUGCAAGUCGAGCGAA
rnacentral:rRNA from 1 species